GCUCUGACGCCAAUCCCCGCCGCUACCCCGGCGUCUGCCGCUGUCGCCCCUCUCUCCCCCUUCCCUGUUUCCGACACCGUGUGGGGCUUGGACCUGGCCCUCUCGGCGCGUCUGCUCCUGGUUGCGGAGCAGUCCGGCGCCGUGUCGGCUGAAACGCAGAGGCUUGACCAGCGACCUCUUGUGUCCAACACCUGGGCGACGGCUUGGUAAGUCGGGCUUGUCCCACACCCCCGCCGCCGCCUGAUGGUCCUGCUGGGAGCUGCGCAGGAAUUAUUCAUUAGAAUCCCGACCUGAGCUUCAUGGCAAGGCUACCCUGCUGAACUUAAGCAUAUCAAUAAAGCGGCAGUGAA
rnacentral:rRNA from 1 species